UACGGGGGGGGGCAAGCGUUUGUUCGGAAUUACUGGGCGUAAAGAGCUCGUAGGCGGCUUGUCACGUCGAUUGUGAAAGCCCGAGGCUUAACCUCGGGUCUGCAGUCGAUACGGGGCUAGCUAGAGUGUGGUAGGGGAGAUCGGAAUUCCUGGUGUAGCGGUGAAAUGCGCAGAUAUCAGGAGGAACACCGGUGGCGAAGGCGGAUCUCUGGGCCAUUACUGACGCUGAGGAGCGAAAGCGUGGGGAGCGAACAGG
rnacentral:rRNA from 1 species